AUUUGACUGUAUCGAAAGUACAAUUAUCCCUGAAGUGUCCUAACUCGAUGAAGAGGCUAGAGACCCGGCCCUGUUAGAACGGCAAAUGUCCCAUCUGCAGGUUGAAAGGACCUCUUUUGACAGAUGGAAUUAUCUUUAAAUUCCUGGAGUAUUUUAAGGGGUGUAUCGUAGAAAUCAAUAGUAAAGGGCUAGCUGUAGAGGUUGAGCAAUGUGAUGACACAAUUAUUGAUUUAACUGAGAGCUUUAACUCCUCCUGUUGUAUCCCCAAGAUUAUCUCCGCUCCAAACCUGACGAAGAAGAGGUCUGCAUUGCAACUUUAAUAAAAGCAAACCAGGGUAAAAGCAAGGUGAAACGGCCAGUCAAAAUA